AUGAACGCUAGCGGCAGGCUUAACACAUGCAAGUCGAGGGGUAAAUAGUUUUCGGAUUAUUGAGACCGGCGCACGGGUGCGUAACGCGUAUGCAAUCUACCUUUUACAGAGGGAUAGCCCAGAGAAAUCUGGAUUAAUACCUCAUAGUAUUGUUGACUGGCAUCAUUUAACAAUUAAAGUUCCAACGGUAAAAGAUGAGCAUGCGUCCCAUUAGUUAGUUGGUAAGGUAACGGCUUACCAAGACAAUGAUGGGUAGGGGUCCUGAGAGGGAGAUCCCCCACACUGGUACUGAGACACGGACCAGACUCCUACGGGAGGCAGCAGUGAGGAAUAUUGGACAAUGGGCGCAAGCCUGAUCCAGCCAUGCCGCGUGCAGGAAGAAGCAUCUAUGGUGUGUAAACUGCUUUUGUACGGGAAGAAACAUCACUACGUGUAGUGACUUGACGGUACCGUAAGAAUAAGGAUCGGCUAACUCCGU
rnacentral:rRNA from 1 species